GAUGGUCAGUGCCUUGUUUAGUGUUCUUCAUGGAACACGUGCUCCCCCCAGCCCACCUCCGGACCCCCUGCUGUCAAACUGAGGGGUAUCCUGGACCUUAGUCUCUUCACUGUAACAGACCAUACCCCCAUGGGGAUAGAUGUGGACAUCUUCAGCAAGCUGGGACUCAGGCAGUGCCUGGUCACACAUAAACGAGGACCUUAACCCUAAGACCAUGCCUCAGGACUACCUGGCAUGAUGUCUCCUGCUGUCCCCAGUCCACCUGGUCAUGCUGCUGCUCCAGUUUCAACUGUUCUGCCUGCGGCUAUGGAACCCAGACCUGUUCUCCGGACGUGCUACCUGUCCAGGCCUGCUGUUUUCAACUCUCUAGAGACAGCAGGAGCAGUAGAGGUGCUGACCUGUUGCACACUCGACAACUACUGUGAUUAUUAUUAUUUGACCAUGCUGGUCAUUUAUGAACAUCUUGGCCAUGUUCUGUUAUAAUCUCCACCCGGCACAGCCAGAAGAGGACUGGCCACCCCUCAUAGCCUGGUUCCUCUCUAGGUUUCGGCCUUUCUAGGGAGUUUUUACUAGCCACCGUGCUUCUACAUCUGCAUUGCUUGCUGUUUGGGGUUUUAGGCUGGGUUUCUGUACAGCACUUUGAGAUAUCAGCUGAUCUAGAAGGGCUAUUUGAAUAAAUUUGAUUUUGAUUUGAUUGCCUGUGGUACUCGAGCUGCAAAAACGCUCAACCAUUGUUACUCCCCCUUCCGGGAUGGCUACAAGGCCCUCCGCUGCCCUCUCUUCAGCAAAUCAGAUCAUGACUCCAUUUUGCUCCUACCUUCCUAUAGGCAGAAACUCAAACAGGAAGUACCCGUGCUAAGGUCUAUUCAACACUGGUCUGACCAAUCGGAAUCCAUGCUUCAAGAUUGUUUUGAGAUAUGUUCCGAGAAGCCUCUGAGAAUAACAUUGAUGUAUACACGAAAACCCAAGACCCCUAGACCCACGCAUACCUCCCCAAACAGAUCCACAGAUGACGCAAUCUCAAUCGCGCUCCACACGGCUCUUUCCCACUUGGACAAAAGGAACACCUAUGUGAGAAUGCAGUUCAUUGACUACAGCUCAGCAUUCAACACCAUAGUACCCACAAAGCUCAUCACUAAGCUAAGAAUCCUGGGACUAAACACCUCCCUCUGCAACUGGAUCCUGCUUAGUCCCCUCCUGUACUCCCUGUUCACCCACGACUGCGUGGCCAAGCAUGACUCCAACACCAUAGGCCUGAUCACCAACAACGGUGAUACAGCCUAUAGUGUGGAGGUCAGACACCUGGCAGUGUUGUAAGAGGCAAACAAUCUCUCCCUCAAUUUGAGCAAGACGAAGGAGCUGAUUAUGAACUAUAGGAAAAGGAGGGCCGAAUAGGCCCCCAUUAACAUUGACGGGGCUGAAGUGGAGCGUGUCAAGAGUUUCAAGUUCCUUGGUGUCCACACCACCAACGAACUAUCACAGUCUAAACACACCAAGACAGUUUUGAAGAGGGCACGACAACACCUUUUCCUCCUCAGGAGACCUGAAAAGAUUUGUCAUGGGUCCCCAGAUCCUCAAAACGUUCGACAGAUGCACCAUCGAGAGCAUCCUGACCGGUUGCAUCACCGCCUGGUAUGACAACUGCUCGGCAUCUGACCGUUAGGCGCUACAGAGGGCAGUGCGUACGGCCCAGUACAUCACUUGUGCCUAGCUUCCUGACAUCCAGGACCUAUAUACUAGGCGGUGUCAGAGGAAGGCCCUAAAAAUGUUCAAAGUCUCCAGUCACCCGAGUCAUAGACUGUUCUCUCUGCUACUGCAUGGCAAGCGGUACUGGAGUGCCAAGUCUAUGACCAAAAAGCUCCUUAACAGCUUCUACCCCCAAGCCAUAAGACUGCUGAACAAUUACUCAAAUUGCCACUCAGACUAUUUACAUUGACCCCACCCCUUUUGUUUUUACACUGCUACUACUCUCUGUUUAUUAUCUAUGCAUAGUCACUUUACAAAUUGCCUUGGUUAACCUGUACCCCCGCACAUUAACUCGGUACCGGUACCCCCAGUAUAUAGCCUCGUUAUUGUUAUGUAAUUUUCUGUGUUACUUUUUGAUUUGAUUUUUUUACUUUAGUUUAUUUAGUAAAUAUUUUCUUGACUCUAUCUUGAACUGCAUUAUUGGUUAAGGGCUUAUAGGUAAGCAUUUCACAAAAAAACUGUUGUAUUCGGAGCAUGUGAUAAACACAAUUUGAUGUGAGUUCAUCAGGACCACUGUGACAAUUAAAACCCACCCAAACCAAAAUUCUUGGAUAGAUGGCAGCAUUCGCACAAAACAAAAGCGCGAACUACCACAUUUUACCAUCUCAAAGUGACUGGGAAUAUGGUCGAAUACAAACAGUGUAGUUAUUCCCUACGUAAGGCAAUCAAAAAGGCAAAAAGGCAGUACAGAGACAUAGUGGAGUUGCAAUUCAACAGGUCAGACAUCAGACCUAUGUAGCAGGGCCUACAUACAAUCCCGGAUUACAAAGGGACAGCCAGCCACGUCGCGGACACUGACGUCUUGCACCCGGACAAGCGAAAUACCUUCUUCGCCCGCUUGAGGAUAACACGGUGAAACGGACGUGGCCCGCUCCCAAGAACUGUGGGAUCUCGUUCUCCGUGGCCGACCCUCGCAAGGCUGCUGGCCCAGACGGCAUCCCUAGCCGCGUCUUCAGAGCAUGCGCAGACCAGCUGGCUGGAGUGUUUACGGACAUAUUAAAUAUCUCCCUAUCCCAGUCUGAUGUCCACACUUGAUUCAAGAUGUCCACCAAUGUUCCUGUAUUCAAGAAAGCCAAGGUAACUGAAUUAAAUGACUAUCGCCCCAUAGCACUCACUUCUGUUAUCAUGAAGUACUUUGAGAGGCUAUGUAAGGAUCAUAUCACCUCUACCUUACCUGACACCCUAGACCAACUUCAAAUUGCAUACCGCCCCAAUAUAUCCACCGACGAUGCAAUCGCCAUCGCACUGCACACUGCCCUAUCCCAUCUGGACAAGAGGAAUACCUACAGUGGAUUCGAUACGUUUUCAGACCCCUUGACUUUUCCCACAUUUUCUUACGUUACAGCCUUAUUCUGAAAUUGAUUAAAUUGUUUUUUUCCCCUUCACCAAUCUACACACAAUACCCCAUAAUGACAAAGUAAAUCCAGGAUUUUAGAUUUUUUGGCAAAUUUAUAAAAAAAUUUAACUGAAAUAUUUCACUUACAUAAGUAUUCAGACACUUUACUCAGUACAGUUGAAGCAUCUUUUGCAGUGAUUACAGAGUCUUCUUAGGUAUGAUGCUACAAGCUUGGCACACCUGUAUUUGGGGAGUUUCUCCCAUUCUUCUCUGCAGAUCCUCUCAAGUUCUGUCAGGUUUUUUCAGGUCUCUCCAGAGAUGUUCAAAUUGGUUCAGGUCUGGGCUGUGGCUAGGCCACUCAAGGACAUUCAGAGACUUGUCCCUGAAGCCACUCCUGCGUUGUCUUGGCUGUAUGCUUAGAGUUGUUGUCCUGUUGGAAGGUGAACCUUUGCCCCAGGCUAAGGUCCUGAGCACUCUAGAGCUGGUUUUCAUCAAGAAUCUCGCUCUACCCUGCUCAGUUCAUCUUUCCCAGUCUCUGCAGCUGAAAAUCAUCCCCACAGUAUGAUUCUGCCACCACCAUGCUUCAAGUGAUGCUUGGCAUUCAGCCCAAAGAGUUCAAUCUUGGUUUCAUCAGACUAGAGAAUCUUGUUUCUCAUGGUCUGAGAGUCUUUAGGUGCCUUUUGGCAAACUCCAAGUGGGCUGUCAUGUGCCUUUAACUGAGGAGUGGCUUCCAUCUGGCCACUCUACCAUAAAGGCGUAUUGCUGGAAGGCUGCAGAGAUAGUUGUCCUUCUGGAAGAUUCUUCCAUCUCUGCAGAGGAACUCUGGAGUUUUGUCUGAGUGACCAUCGGGUUCUUGGUCACCUCCCUGACCAAGGCCCUUCUUCCCCGAUUGCUCAGUUUGGCCGGGCGGCCAGCUCUAGGAAGAGUCUUGGUGGUUUCAACCUUCUUCCAUUUAAGAAUGAUGGAGGCCACUGUGUUCUUGGUGAAUUUCAAUGCUGCAGAAAUGUUUCGGUACACUUUCCUAGAUCUGUGCCUCGACACAAUCCUGUCUCAGAGCUCUAUGGACAAUUCCUUCGAUCUCAUGGCUUGGUUUGUGCUCUGACAUGCAUUGUCAACUGUGGGACCUUAUAUAGACAGUUGUGUACCUUCCUAAUCAUGUCCUAUCAAUUGAAUUUAGCACAGGUGUACUCCAAUCAAGUUGUAGAAACAGUGAUAAUCAAUGGAAACAGGAUGCACCUGAGCUCAAUUUCGAGUCUCAUAGAGAAGUAUAUUUGUUUUUUAAUUUUUAAUAAAUUUGUUAAAAUUUCUAAUACUUGUUGUUGCUUUGUCAUUAUGGGGUAUUGUGUGUAGAUUGAUGAGGAUUUAUUUUAAUACUUUUUAGAAAAAGGCUGUAACAUAACAAAAAAUACUUUCUGAAGGCACUGUCUGUAAGAAUGCUGUUCAUUGACUAUAGCUCAGCCUUCACAACCAUAUUACCCUCCAAGCUCAUCAUUAACCUCGGGGCCCAGGGUCUGAACCUCGCCCCCUGUGCAACUGGGUCCUGAACUUCCUGACAGGCUGCCCCCAGGUGGUGAAGGUAGGAAAUAACACCUUAACUUCGCUGAUCCUCAACACAGGGAUCCCACAAGGGUGCACGCCUCCAUCUCAAUCAUCAAGUUUGCAGAUGACACAACAGUAGUAGGCCUGAUUACCAACAAUGCCGAGACAGCCUACAGGGAGGAGGUGAGGGCCCUGGCGGAGUGGUGUCAGGAAAAUAACCUCUCCCUCAACGUCAACAAAACGAAGGAGCCUAUCGUGGACUUCAGGAAACUGCAGAGGGAGUGCGCCCCUAUCCACAUCGAUGGGACCGCAGUGGAGAAGGUAAAAAGCUUCAAGUGCCUCAGCGUACACAUCACUGACAAUCUGAAAUGGUCCACCCACACAGACCAUGUGGUCUUCAACCUCAAGAGGACAUUCAACCUCAAGAGGACAUCAACCACCCGAGCCAUGGCCUGUUCAACCCGCUAUCAUCCAGAGGGUGAGGUCAGUACAGGUGCAUCAAAGCUGGGACCUAGAGACUGAAAAACAGCUUCUAUCUCAAGGCCAUCAGACUGUUAAAUAGCCAUCAGUAGUCGGCUUCCACCCGGUUACUCAACCCUGCACCUUAGACGCUGCUGCCCUAUGUACAUAAACACGGAAUCACUGGUAACUUUAAUAAUGGAACGCUAGUCACUUUAAUAAUGUUUACAUACUGCUUUACUCAUUUCAUAUGUAUAUACUGUAUUCUAUCCUACUGUAUUUUAGUCAAUGCUACAACACUGUUUUAGAUACUACAACACUGUUGGUUCUAGGAACACAAUAAUUUUGCUACACCAACAAUAACAUCUGCUAAAUAUAUUUAUGUGACCAAUAAAAUUGUAUUUUAUUUGA